rnacentral:vault_RNA from 1 species
GGGUCGGCUUUAGCUCAAGCGGUUACUUCGCGUGCAGUCUUCCCAGACUCCUAAUCCCUUCACGGGGGUUCGAGACCCGCGGGUGCUUUCUGACCCUUUU